rnacentral:rRNA from 1 species
AGACAUGAGUUAAAGCUCGUAGUUGGAUUUCUGGGGAAGUCUGUUAAGUGCAAUAGUGUUUUUCAGACUUUACCCAUCCUUCUGUUAACAUGUGAUGGUAUCCGUACUGGACAUGGGCUCAGAUAUUUUACCUUGAGAAAAUUAGAGUGUUUCAGGCAGGCUAGGCCGGAAUAUAAAGCAUGGAAUAAUGGAAUUGACAUGACUCUGUGGUUGGCCAGAGAAGUGUAAUGGUUAAUAGGAACAGUUGGGGGCAUUAGUAUUUUAAUUUGUCAGAGGUGAAACUCUUUGGAUUUUGUUUAAAGACUUAACUUAAAGCCGAAAGCAUUUUG